AUCCAGCUGACAAGCACCAAAAAGGACGAAACGCGCGUCCUGGAU
rnacentral:hammerhead_ribozyme from 1 species